GAUUACCCUCUACGGUUGAGGGAGAAAAAGAAGGACCUAUGAUGGACAACAUGCAUGCAAUGCCUUCUGGCUUGGUGGUCCAAGUCCAGCAGAAGGUCAACACCGAUGACUGUUGCGAGGAAAAGGAGAAUAUGGAUGAUGUGGAUGAGAUGAGAGAAGAGAAGAAUAAGGAUGACAUGCAUGUGAGAGAAGAGAUGCAUGGGACGCAGACACACACAACUACUACUCAUAAGCCAUAUUAUAAUGUGCUUACAUAAUGUAAGUCCUUCUAAGUAGACGCUGCCAGCAUCAUGAAAAGCUCCUGUGAAAAAAAGAAAAGAAAAACGCGACGAACAUGACCACAGAGUACGAAAAUGAACAAGGGCAAGACCAAGAUUGUUUCCCUUCCAUUGAACAUCAUUAUCAGGAACUUCCUGGCACCCGAAUGUUCAAUCCGUGAAGUGCCAAGCAACGACCAGGCUUUGAUUGAUUUUUAUUUUUUCUGAAGUAUUUGCAUAAUGAA